AUUAGAGUUUGAUCCUGGCUCAAAUUGAACGCUGGCGGCAUGCCUUACACAUGCAAGUCGAACGGCAGCACGGAGCUUGCUCUGGUGGCGAGUGGCGAACGGGUGAGUAAUAUAUCGGAACGUACCCAAGAGUGGGGGAUAACGUAGCGAAAGUUACGCUAAUACCGCAUACGAUCUAUGGAUGAAAGCAGGGGACCGCAAGGCCUUGUGCUCCUGGAGCGGCCGAUAUCUGAUUAGCUAGUUGGUGGGGUAAAGGCCCACCAAGGCAACGAUCAGUAGCUGGUCUGAGAGGACGACCAGCCACACUGGAACUGAGACACGGUCCAGACUCCUACGGGAGGCAGCAGUGGGGAAUUUUGGACAAUGGGGGCAACCCUGAUCCAGCAAUGCCGCGUGAGUGAAGAAGGCCUUCGGGUUGUAAAGCUCUUUUGUCAGGGAAGAAAAGGUCGCAGCUAAUAUCUGUGGCUCAUGACGGUACCUGAAGAAUAAGCACCGGCUAACUACGUGCCAGCAGCCGCGGUAAUACGUAGGGUGCAAGCGUUAAUCGGAAUUACUGGGCGUAAAGCGUGCGCAGGCGGUUUUGUAAGACUGUCGUGAAAUCCCCGGGCUCAACCUGGGAAUGGCGAUGGUGACUGCAAGGCUAGAGUUUGGCAGAGGGGGGUAGAAUUCCACGUGUAGCAGUGAAAUGCGUAGAUAUGUGGAGGAACACCGAUGGCGAAGGCAGCCCCCUGGGUCAAAACUGACGCUCAUGCACGAAAGCGUGGGGAGCAAACAGGAUUAGAUACCCUGGUAGUCCACGCCCUAAACGAUGUCUACUAGUUGUCGGGUCUUAAUUGACUUGGUAACGCAGCUAACGCGUGAAGUUGACC
rnacentral:rRNA from 1 species